rnacentral:rRNA from 1 species
GACGAACGCUGGCGGCGUGCUUAACACAUGCAAGUCGAGCGGGGAACUGUGGAAUGAAGCUUCGGCAGAAUGAAGCAGUUUCUAGCGGCGGACGGGUGAGUAACGCGUGAGCAAUCUGUCCCAGACAGGGGGAUAACAGAUGGAAACAUCUGCUAAUACCGCAUAAGACCACGAGGUCGCAUGGCCUUGAGGUAAAAGAUUUAUCGGUCUGGGGUGAGCUCGCGUCCCAUUAGCUAGUUGGUGAGGUAACGGCCCACCAAGGCGACGAUGGGUAGCCGACCUGAGAGGGUGAUCGGCCACAUUGGAACUGAGACACGGUCCAGACUCCUACGGGAGGCAGCAGUGGGGAAUAUUGGGCAAUGGGCGCAAGCCUGACCCAGCAACGCCGCGUGAAGGAAGAAGGUUUCGGAUUGUAAACUUCUGUCCUUGGUGACGAAGGAAGUGACGGUAGCCCAAGGAGGGAAAGCCCCCGGGCUAACUACGUGCCAGCAGCCGCGU